rnacentral:lncRNA from 1 species
GUAAGAAGUGUUUGCUAGCUGGGCCUGUGGCUUGGAAAUCCAUUCGCCGCUUAUAAAACUCAAACCAUAGGAGGUGUUCUUAGUACAACUUCUUCCUUUCCUUUUCCUUCCUUCCUUCCUUCUUUCCUUCCCUCCCUCCCUCCCUCCCUUCCUCUCUUUCCCUAUCCCUCCCUCUUUCUCUCUUUUGGUUUUUCAAGAUAGUUUAUUUCCUCCUUUUUUUAAUUAGAUAUUUUCUUUAUUUACAUUUCAAAUGUUAUCCGGAAAGUUCCUUAUACCUCCCCCCAUGCCCUGCUCCCCUACCCACCCACUCACACUUCUUGGCCCUGGCGUUCCCCUGUACUGAGGCAUAUAAAGUUUGCAAGACCAAGGGGCCUCUCUUUCCAAUGAUGGCCAACUAAGCCAUCUUCUGCUACAUAUGCAGCUAGAGACACAAGCUCUGGGGGUACUGGUUAGUUCAUUUUGUUGUUCCACCUAUAGGGUUGCAGACCCCCUUCAGCUCCUUGGGUACUUUCUCUGGCUCCUCCAUUGGGGCCCCUAUGUUCCAUCCUAUAGAUGACUGUGAGCAGCAUCCACUUCUGUAUUUGCUAGGCACUGGCAUAGCCUCACUGAAGCUAUAUCAGGGUCCUUUCCGCAAAAUCUUUCUGGCAUAUGCAAUAGUGUCUGGGUUUGGUAACUGAUUAUGGGAUGGAUCACUGGGUGGGGUAGUCUCUGGAUAGUCCAUCCUUUUGUCUUAGCUCCAAACUUUGUCUCUAACUCCUUCCAUGGGUGUUUUGUUACCUAUCCCAAGGAUGAAUGAAGUAUUCACACGUUGGUCUUGCCUCUUGAUUUUUCUUGUUUUGCAAAUUGUAUCUUGGGUAUUCUAAGUUUCUGGGCUAAUAUCCACUUAUCAGUGAGUGCAUAUCAAGUGACUUUUGUGGGUUGUUUCUUUUAUGUAGCCUUGGUUGUCCUUGAACUUUUAAACCAGGCUGACCUUGAACUCAUCCUGCUGCCUCCCUGGAAUUGAAGGCAUGAGCUACCACACCCAACUUUUUUUUCCGAGACAGGGUUUCUCUGUGUAGCCCCAGCUGUCCUGGAACUCUGUAGACCAGGCUGGCCUUGAACUCAGAAAUCCACCUGCCUCUGCAUACCAACUGCUGGGAUUAAAGGCGUGCUCCACCACACCCAGCUACUUUCACUUUUAAAAAAUUUUUAUUCCACACCCAACUCUUAAUUUGCAUAUCAAUAGCUUUAGGGGAUGGCUAAGGGCAUUUAUGUUUGAAUUAAUUUUAAGAGUAUCUGGUGUUAUUUGAUGUAUAUGGGUGUGUGCUUGUAUCUGUGUAAAGUUCAGAGGACAACAUCUGGAGUUGAUUCUCUUCCACAUUAGCACUCAGGUUGUAAGGCUUCCUGACUAGAGCUUUUACUUUAAGCCUUCUAGCAUACAUCUGGAGACAGGGUCUCUCACUGAACCUUGAGCUUACUGAUCUAAACAUAGGUCCACUUGCUCACAGAGUAAGUCAUCUCCCCAGACCCAGAUCUGGACUUUAACAUGCACCCAGAAGUUGACUAAGAUACCCUGUGUUGACCUGGCCUCCACACACACAUGUGCAAACCCCAUGCCCUCAACAAAUUACUCCUCAAAUCCUUCACAACUUUUUUGGCCAUAAGCCAUAGGUAGAACUGAGGCCUGCGAUGAGGGUCUCAUCUAUUUUUUUUUUUUUUACAGAUUUAUUUAUUUUAUCUGUAUGAGUACACUGUAGGUGUCUUCAGAUACACCAUAAGAGGGCAUUAGAUCUCAUUACAGAUGGUUGUGAGCCACCAUGUGAUUGCUGGGAAUUGAACUCAGGACUUCUGGAAGAGCAAUCUGUGUUCUUAACCCCUGAGCCAUCUCUCCAGCCCUGGGUCUCAUUGAUUCAUUUAAACUGUUUCCUUUUCUCUCUACCAGGGACCAGAAUUUAGGCAGGGGCCAUGUAGCUCACAGCCUGUUUUUAACUCCCCUGGGGAAGGAAAAUCGACUAGCUUGGCUGAGACUUGGUUACUCCUUUCCCAUUAAUGACUGGGCAUUUAAAACCCUGAGUCAUAUUUCAGCUUUCAUGUGUCUCCCCAGUGGGGAUUCCUUGUUACAUCUAAUUUAGUGACCUAAACUAGCUAGGGGGCUAGCCUAGUUUGUAGGAACAAGAUUCACUGAGAACUACAAAAGAUGCCAGAUGUGGUGGCAUACUGGACCACAUGCACACACAUACGCAUACACACACACACAGCUCUUAGUUUGAUUGGGAAUUAAAGAAUUCCUAUACAGUGACCCUGGGCUCUACAGUGACUCUAUC